AUCGCUUCUCGGCCUUUUGGCUAAGAUCAAGUGCAGAAUAAAGGAAAUAUGCACUAGCUAGACCCAGGUUUUUUUUUUUUAUAAGCUUCUGCAAAAUUGCAGUUCUUCAACUUCUUAUAUACUCAAUGUGUUUUAUAAUAUUUCGGGUUAGACCUACA
rnacentral:sRNA from 1 species